rnacentral:piRNA from 1 species
UUUUUUCAGUGAUGUGAUGAACAUUUGGGU